rnacentral:rRNA from 1 species
AGUGAACGCUGGCGGUAGGCCUAACACAUGCAAGUCGAACGGCAGCACAGUAAGAGCUUGCUCUUACGGGUGGCGAGUGGCGGACGGGUUAGGAAUACAUCGGAAUCUACUUUUUCGUGGGGGAUAACGUAGGGAAACUUACGCUAAUACCGCAUACGACCUACGGGUGAAAGCAGGGGAUCUUCGGACCUUGCGCGAUUGAAUGAGCCGAUGUCGGAUUAGCUAGUUGGCGGGGUAAAGGCCCACCAAGGCGACGAUCCGUAGCUGGUCUGAGAGGAUGAUGAGCCACACUGGAACUGAGACACGGUCCAGACUCCUACGGGAGGCAGCAGUGGGGAAUAUUGGACAAUGGGCGCAAGCCUGAUCCAGCCAUACCGCGUGGGUGAAGAAGGCCUUCGGGUUGUAAAGCCCUUUUGUUGGGAAAGAAAAGCAGCAGGUUAAUACCCCGCUGUUCUGACGGUACCCAAAGAAUAAGCACCGGCUAACUUCGUG